GACGAACGCUGGCGGCGUGCUUAACACAUGCAAGUCGAGCGACGCCCACCUUUCGGGGUGGUGACGGAGCGGCGAACGGGUGAGUAACACGUGGGCAACCUGCCCCUAGCUCUGGGAUAAGCCUCGGAAACGGGGUCUAAUACUGGAUAUGAGAUCGGGUCGCAUGGCCUGGUUUGGAAAGUUUUUCGGUCUAGGGAUGGGCCCGCGGCCUAUCAGCUUGUUGGUGGGGUGAUGGCUCACCAAGGCGACGACGGGUAGCCGGCCUGAGAGGGCGACCGGCCACACUGGGACUGAGAUACGGGCCAGACUCCUACGGGAGGCAGCAGUGAGGAAUUUUGCGCAAUGGGCGAAAGCCUGACGCAGCGACGCCGCGUGAGGGAUGAAGGUCUUCGGAUCGUAAACCUCUGUCAGUGGGGAAGAGUACGGACGGUACCCACUGAGGAAGCUUCGGCUAACUACGUGCCAGCAGCCGCCGCCGUAAG
rnacentral:rRNA from 1 species